AACAGGAUUAGAUACCCUGGUAGUCCACGCCCUAAACGAUGAUGACUAGUUGUUGGGGGAGUUAAAUCCCUCAGUAACGCAGCUAACGCGUGAAGUCGUCCGCCUGGGGAGUACGGUCGCAAGAUUAAAACUCAAAGGAAUUGACGGGGGCCUGCACAAGCGGUGGAUGAUGUGGUUUAAUUCGACGCAACGCGAAAAACCUUACCUACCCUUGACAUGUGAGGGACCCUGCAGAGAUGCAGGGGUGCCCGAAAGGGAACCUCAACACAGGUGCUGCAUGGCUGUCGUCAGCUCGUGUCGUGAGAUGUUGGGUUAAGUCCCGCAACGAGCGCAACCCUUGCCAUCAGUUGCUACAUUCAGUUGAGCACUCUAAUGGGACUGCCGGUGACAAACCGGAGGAAGGUGGGGAUGACGUCAAGUCCUCAUGGCCCUUAUGGGUAGGGCUACACACGUCAUACAAUGGCGCGUACAGAGGGUUGCCAACCCGCGAGGGGGAGCCAAUCCCAGAAAGCGCGUCGUAGUCCGGAUUGAAGUCUGCAACUCGACUUCAUGAAGUCGGAAUCGCUAGUAAUCGCGGAUCGGCAUGUCGCGGUGAAUACGUUCCCGGGCCUUGUACACACCGCCCGUCACACCAUGGGGAGUGGGGUUCACCAGAAGCAGGUUGCCUAACCGCAAGGAGGGCGCCUACCACGGUGAGCCUCAUGACUUGGGUGAAGUCGUAACAAGGUAACC
rnacentral:rRNA from 1 species